rnacentral:rRNA from 1 species
GACGAAGGGGGCUAGCGUUGUUCGGAAUUAUUGGGCGUAAAGGGCGCGUAGGCGGUUUGGCAAGUUUGGUGUGAAAUCUUCGGGCUCAACUCGAAGUCUGCAUCGAAAACUGCCGGGCUUGAGUAUGGGAGAGGUGAGUGGAAUUUCCGGUGUAGCGGUGAAAUGCGUAGAUAUCGGAAGGAACACCUGUGGCGAAAGCGGCUCACUGGACCAUAACUGACGCUGAGGCGCGAAAGCUAGGGGAGCAAACAGG